CUUUAUGGUUAAUAAUAAUCUUUGAUUUGAAAGGAUAUUUCAAAAAUGUUUAUAUGAGGUUUUUUGGACCUAAAAUGAUCAACUAGGAGGCUUUAAACUUUGGUUUUAAACUUUAGAGAAAAUAUCUAAACCAUUAAAUAGUUAUAAGUUGACUGUUUCCAUGUUUAUACUUCCAUAUUUCUUGUCAGGGGACCAAUUUAUAACCGAAUUGUUUCUACAAUUUGUACCACUUAAAUUUCACUUUUCAAUAAUAUUUAAUUGUUUUAAGGAAAAAAAAGAAUUAUGAAUUGGUUAUCCGAUCGAUUAUAUGUUUUAAAAGAAUCAGCAAUCUCGUAAGUUUUCAUCUCAUAAUUUUAGGAAAUUAUAGCUGUGCUAGAUUUUGUUUUUUUUUCCAGCAUUUGUCAUUAAUCCCUAAAGUAUUUUCUAUGAUCUUUUUGUUGAUUGAUAGAUCUUCGUUUUACGAUUGCACCAAUGAUUCAAUUUGAAAUUAUAAAUUUGACCAAAGGAAUCAUCAACCCUUUCCUUAUCGCCUCGAUUUGAGAUUGAAAAUUUUGUCCAUUUGUUGGUUUUGUAAUGAUGCAGUGAUGUUUGCGAGGGCAACACGUAUCAAGUGAAUUUGACAUCUGCCCUCUCUUCUCUUCGCAUGCUGCUCACGUAGCACCUCCUCUUACGUAUGCCUAACUGCACAUUGAUUCAUAUGUUAAUUUCAGUAGCUAAACAAAACGAAAAUAAGAAAUAAGAAACCUUUUGGCGCAUACUGAAAGGUUGGCUUUUUUUUUGUCAACUUUUUGUUGGCUUUAACUAGAACCUUUUUUUAUAGCGCCUUUUCAUUUGGUGUUUAAAAAAAAAAACUAGAACCUUUUCAUUUACGGUAUUUUCAUACUUAUUAAAAAAAUAUAUAUAAACGGAAGCGAGAGUGAGCAGAAAUUUUUCAAAUCUAAAUUUUUAGAAAACUCCUGAAAAUUUCAUAAAAUUUUGUAUAAGACAUCAUUAUAUCCUAAUCAACCAGAAUUUCCGCUACUUAGUUCACUUUUAAAGUAGAAAAAGGCUAGUUUAUAAAAAAAAAAGUAGAAAAAGGCUUAAAUACUCUCAAGUAGGUCUUGAGUAGAACUAGAAGUAGAAGAAUAAUUAAUACACAAACUCGUGUUAACCUCAUUACCUUGCCCAAGUCAAGUAAUCAUGUUCAGGAUUACACUAUAUCAAUACACAACUGGCAACACGUCGACCUUGGAUUGAUUGUUCUUAAUCUUAUAUGUAAUUUCUUUUGAUCUUUUUUUUAAAAUAACCUUCUCAAUAUUGAUUGCAUAAGUUACACAUGAAGCUCCAUUCUAUGAGAAAGUAGAGAAGUUGUAUGGUGGUCUUGCUAACCAAUUGGUUAAUCAAGGCCAUAUACUGGACAAUUUUGCAUCUGCGCUUGAUCAGGUGUUCAACAAUAGUCCAAACGUUUCCCCAUGCCAUGUAUGCGAUCAACUUGGAUCUCAGGUUAGUAAUAUCCAAAUUGUCUUUCUAAUUAUUCCUCCCGAGUGGUCUCAUGAUCCUGCACGGUCUCUGGCUUUGCUUUUUGUGUGAAUAAUGUUGUGGUUUGAUUGAUCAUUUUGAUAUUACAAUGGAUACAUGCAAGGAUUUUGUUAGUGAAGCUGAAUCCUUCAGUAAAUUACAACAACACCAGCUAGAUGCCUAGAUGGACACAGGUUCUUAUAUAAUCUUCAACGACAAUGCUCGUCUUGAACUUUUUCUACCAACAUCUCCAGAAACUGACCGUACAAUCUAGAGGAAGCCCACAACAAAAGUCUCGCCGUCCCUUCAUUUUAGAUUUGAUUAGUAUGUUUAACUUCUUCACAUUGUUUAGCUUCAUAAAGCUAUACUAAGUGAGAAAUACAGACAGAUUACGAACUAAUGAUAAAAGAAAGAAUGGGUUUUAUUAAGCAUUACAUUUCUUGGUGAA